GAAGGUGUUAGGCACCCCUCGAUCCCGUGGUUAGACCACGGUCGCUUGAUGGAGUGUAUCGGCUAAUUUGACAUUACAAAUGUAUAAACCACAUAAAACAAUCAAUCAAACACACAAAACCAAACAAAUCCAAAAUUUAGCGUUCAGUCCAAUUAUAUAGUCCAAAUAAAUAAAAAUGCGAAAAUAAAUCCUAUCUAACCUACACUAAUCCUAACUAUGCUCUCGUG
rnacentral:lncRNA from 1 species